rnacentral:rRNA from 1 species
UACCCGCAGCACAAGUGGUGGUCAUUAUUAUUGGGCCUAAAGCGUCCGUAGCUGGCUUGUUAGAUGCCUGGGUAAAUCGAUGCGCUCAACGCAUCGAAUUCCGGGUAGACCGGCAAGCUUGGGACCGGGAGAGGCGUGAGCUACUCGAGGGGUAGGGGUAAAAUCCUGUAAUCCUUCGGGGAGGACCAGUGGCGAAGGCGUCACGCUAGAACGGCUCCGACAGUGAGGGACGAAGCCCUGGGGCGCAAACCGG